rnacentral:rRNA from 1 species
AUUGAACGCUGGCGGCAGGCCUAACACAUGCAAGUCGAGCGGAGCGGCGGACGGGUGAGUAAUGCCUAGGACUCUGCCUGUUAUUGGGGGAUAACGUCCGGAAAAGGACGAUAAUACAGCAUACUCUAAGAUGAGCCUAGGUCGGAUUAGCUCGUUGUUGGGGUAAAGGCCUACCAAGGCGACGAUCCGUAACUGGUCUGAGAGGAUGAUCAGUCACACUGAAACUGAGACACGGUCCAGAUUCCUACGGGAGGCAGCAGUGGGGAAUAUUGGACAAUGGGCGAAAGCCUGAUCCAGCCAUGCAGCGUGUGUGAAGAAGGUCUUCGGAUUGUAAAGCACUUUAAGUUGGGAGGCGUUACCAACAGAAUAAGCACCGGCUAACUUCGUGCCAGCAGCCGCGGUAAUAC